GUCUUUGUUGUGCAAUCAGUUAGCAAGUUCGGCUGUUAACUGAAAGAUUGGUGGUUCGAGCCCACCCAGAGAUG
rnacentral:tRNA from 1 species